rnacentral:rRNA from 1 species
GACUAACGCUGGCGGCGUGCCUAACACAUGCAAGUCGAACGAAGCAGCAAUGCUUAGUGGCAGACGGGUGAGUAACGCGUAGAUAAUGUGCCCUCUUGCGGGGGAUACCGUUUCGAAAGGAACGUUAAUACCGCAUAAAGUCCUUAGAAGGCAUCUUUUAGGGACCAAACUUCCGGGGCGGGAGGAGCAAUCUGCGUACUAUCAGCUAGUUGGUAAAGUAAUGGCUCACCAAGGCUACGACGGUUAACUGGUCUGAAAGGAUGAUCAGUCACACUGGAACUGAGACACGGUCCAGACUCCUACGGGAGGCAGCAGUGAGGAAUAUUGCACAAUGGACGAAAGCCUGAUGCAGCGACGCCGCGUGGAGGAUGAAGGAUUUCGGUCUGUAAACUCCUGUCAGUAGGGAAGAGAAUGGACGGUACCUACUGAGGAAGCUUCGGCUAACUACGUGCCAGCAGACGCGGUAAUGUAGUCGUGU